GUGAAUCAUCGAAUCUUUGAACGCACCUUGCGCCCCUUGGCAUUCCUUGGGGCACGCCCGUUCGAGUGUCACGACAAACCAUCGCCGCCCUUUUGGGUGCGCGGACUUGGACCGUGCCGGCCCAGCGCCGGCUCGUCCCGAAAUGCAUUAGCCGCGGGGCUCCCCCGGGCAGAUGACGUGGUAGUCUCUUCGUCGUCCGUCCGCGGUGAAAACGCGCCCGGCUCACAGAACCCCCCUUGUCUUUGCGCUCUGGCCUCGAAUCGGGCGGGACUACCCGCUGAACUUAAGCAUAUCAAUAAGCGGAGGA
rnacentral:misc_RNA from 1 species